rnacentral:misc_RNA from 1 species
AAGUCGUAACAAGGUUUCCGUAGGUGAACCUGCGGAAGGAUCAUUAAUAGUGCUUUUAUGCAUUGACAUGUGUGAACUGUUUUGACGGACUGUUGGUGUUGCUCGCUAGGGUGACGCCGACUCUAUUUACCCUACCUGACUAUUUGACGCACUGAACAAUAAAGCUUAGUUGAAAAACUUGCAAAACUUUUAGCAAUGGAUCUCUAGGCUCUU